CCGUUAGAUGACGAGGAGAUGAUCUCAUACAUCCUCAUCGGUCUCGACAUUGACUACAAUCCUAUUGUGUCUGUCAUUGGUGCACAUGUGGAACCAAUGUCGGUCAACAAGUUGUAUGCUCAACUUCUGAGCUUUGAAA